rnacentral:rRNA from 1 species
AUUGAACGCUGGCGGCAGGCUUAACACAUGCAAGUCGAGCGAGCGGCGGACGGGUGAGUAAUGUCUGGGCAACUGCCUGAUGGAGGGGUAUAACUACUGGAAACGGUAGCUAAUACCGCAUACCAUCAGAUGUGCCCAGAUGGGCUUAGCUAGUAGGUGGGGUAAUGGCUCACCUAGGCGACGAUCCCUAGCUGGUCUGAGAGGAUGACCAGCCACACUGGAACUGAGACACGGUCCAGACUCCUACGGGAGGCAGCAGUAGGGAAUAUUGCACAAUGGGCGCAAGCCUGAUGCAGCCAUGCCGCGUGUGUGAAGAAGGCAUUCGGGUUGUAAAGCACUUUCAGUAGGGAGGCGGUACUCGAAGAAAAAGCACCGGCUAACUACGUGCCAGCAGCCGCGGUAAUAC